rnacentral:tRNA from 3 species
GCACCCGUAGUUCAAUGGAUAGAAUGUCAGAUUCCGGUUCUGAUGAUAUGAGUUCGAAUCUCGUCGGGUGCA